rnacentral:rRNA from 1 species
UGAACGCUGGCGGCAGGCCUAACACAUGCAAGUCGAACGGUAACAGGAAGAAGCUUGCUUCUUUGCUGACGAGUGGCGGACGGGUGAGUAAUGUCUGGGAAACUGCCUGAUGGAGGGGGAUAACUACUGGGAACGGUAGCUAAUACCGCAUAACGUCGCAAGACCAAAGAGGGGGACCUUCGGGCCUCUUGCCAUCGGAUGUGCCCAGAUGGGAUUAGCUAGUAGGUGGGGUAACGGCUCACCUAGGCGACGAUCCCUAGCUGGUCUGAGAGGAUGACCAGCCACACUGGAACUGAGACACGGUCCAGACUCCUACGGGAGGCAGCAGUGGGGAAUAUUGCACAAUGGGCGCAAGCCUGAUGCAGCCAUGCCGCGUGUAUGAAGAAGGCCUUCGGGUUGUAAAGUACUUUCAGCGGGGAGGAAGGGAGUAAAGUUAAUACCUUUGCUCAUUGACGUUACCCGCAGAAGAAGCACCGGCUAACUCCGUG